AUACGGAGGGUGCGAGCGUUAUUCGGAAUUACUGGGCGUAAAGCGCGUGUAGGCGGGGGAGCAAGUCUGAUGUGAAAGCCCCGGGCUUAACCCGGGAAGUGCAUUGGAAACUGUUUUUCUUGAGUACUGGAGAGGAGGGGGGAAUUCCCGGUGUAGAGAUGAAAUUCGUAGAGAUCGGGAGGAAUACCAGUGGCGAAGGCGCCCUUCUGGACGGUUACUGACGCUGAGACGCGAAAGCGUGGGGAGCAAACAGGAUUAGAUACCCUGGUAGUCCACGCUGUAAACGAUGAGCACUAGGUGUAGCGGGUACUCAUUCCUGCUGUGCCGCAGCUAACGCGUUAAGUGCUCCGCCUGGGGACUACGGUCGCAAGACUAAA
rnacentral:rRNA from 1 species